CAUCACGAUACUGUCAAUUUUUUACAGAAGCUGAGGAUAAUAAUUCAUUUAGAUCAUAGCUGAGUUUUCUAGCUGAAAUAAUGCCCACAUACAUUUCAUGAGAAACAAAGAACAACCCGGCUCAAGAAGGAUCUAUCAAUAUUCGACAGUGUUAUCUUUCACCACCAAGCGGACUGGCGAUCCCUGUGUAUUUAUGAAAAGCUGUUACUUUAAGAUGUUUUCAAGCAGCCUGUUAAAAAUCAUAAUUUGUUUUAUUUCUGUAAAAUGUAUCAUGGCAGAGUGCUGUACAGUAUUUUUCAGUAGAGUAGGUACAGUAACUAAUACUUUGUAUAUUGUAACUAAGUCUAUUUUUGUUUUAUGAUUGAUGUCAUUGUUUUCCAUUAGGGGUUCAGAUAAAGUCAUUAACAUUUCAAUGCUUCAAAUGAGUAUUAAUAUUAUAUUAUAAUAAUAUCACCGCCUAAUACAAUUUAGUGUAUACUGAAUGUUGAGUAGAUAUUAAGAGCUAUGCACUACCUGUUACAAAACCCUAUGUCUGUAUUUUAAUAAUGGAGCCAUCUGCAAAUCAUAAAAUCUGUAACAAAGGUAUUA